rnacentral:rRNA from 1 species
GACAGAGGGGGCAAGCGUUGCUCGGAAUUACUGGGCGUAAAGAGCUCGUAGGCGGUCUGUCGCGUCGGAUGUGAAGACCCAGGGCUCAACCCUGGGCCUGCAUUCGAUACGGGCAGACUAGAGUUCGGUAGGGGAGACUGGAAUUCCUGGUGUAGCGGUGAAAUGCGCAGAUAUCAGGAGGAACACCGGUGGCGAAGGCGGGUCUCUGGGCCGAAACUGACGCUGAGGAGCGAAAGCGUGGGGAGCAAACAGG